AAGCCAAAAGAAAAGGCUCUAUUAGGGUUUUAAAAGUGGCCAAAUACUCAAGGUCUCCACUCUAUCCCAUAUUCCAAACCCUCUGAAAAUGGCCGGUGCCGGAAUCCACCCCUACCACCAGCAGUGGCCGCCGGCCCCGGCUCCUCAGCCCUCCGCCCCCGGAGCCCCUCCUGCCCCCGCCCACCCUCCUCCCAUUCUCGUCGAAAACCCUAACCGGCCCAACUCCGACGAGGUACGUACGAUCUUCAUCUCGGGUCUACCUGAGGACGUGAAGGAGAGGGAGCUCCAGAAUCUGCUGAGGUGGUUGCCGGGAUACGAGGCUUCGCAGGUGAAUUUCAAGGGGGAGCAUCCCAUGGGUUUCGCGCUUUUCUCCACUCCUCAGCUCGCGGUCGCUGCCAAAGAUGCGCUUCAGGAAAUGGUUUUUGAUGCAGAGUCAAAGUCCGUAUUGCACACCGAAAUGGCAAAGAAGAACCUUUUUGUUAAAAGAGGAAUAGUAGCAGAUUCAAGUGCAUAUGAUCAAAGUAAGCGCUUGAGAACUGGUGGUGACUACACGCAUACGGGUUAUUCAAGUCCAUCUCCUUUUCAUCCUCCUCCAGCACCUGUUUGGGGACCACAUGGGUAUAUGGCUCCAGCUCCUCCUCCAUAUGACCCAUAUGGAGCUUACCCUGUCCCUCCAGUACCAAUGCCUGCUCCUGCUCCUGUACCAGCACCCAGCAGUUAUGUGCCUGUUCAGAAUACAAAAGAUAAUCCUCCUUGCAAUACCCUAUUUAUUGGAAAUCUUGGGGAGAACAUAAAUGAGGAAGAACUGAGGGGUCUUUUCAGUGUACAACCAGGUUUUAAGCAGAUGAAGAUCUUAAGACAGGAAAGACAUACUGUUUGCUUCAUUGAAUUUGAAGACAUGAAUACUGCUACCAAUGUGCACCAUAGUUUGCAGGGUGCUGUUAUCCCCAGUUCAGGUUCUGUUGGCAUGCGAAUACAAUAUUCGAAGAACCCAUUUGGGAAAAGGAAGGACUCUGGCCACCCUGUUGCCGUAGCUGGUGCCAAUGGAGCUCCUGCACCUCCGACUUACCAAUAGCUGGAAGGGGAUGUACUCUGUUCUUUAAGUUCCGCAAAUACAACUACUACAUGAUAGGAUGCAUCAUGCAGCUGUUGCAUGCAUCCAUUUCAUUGUCAGGCUCCUCAAAGCAUAAUAACCUGAAGAAUGUCAGAAAAUAUAUGGUGCUGUAAUAAUGCAGGAAUUAUCAUACAAAAUGACAAAGCUUUCAUUCGUUUGAGGAGGUUCCAAGUGCUGAAGCUGCUCCUUGUUUCAGGUAAUUUACUCUAACAACCAGACUACCAAUUCAUUAUCCCCCUACAAAGUUAGCUAUGCAGCUCAUAUAGGGUAAAACCUUUGUUUCGUUUUUUAACUGAAGCUGGCAUGAGAUCAAUAGCCAAGCUUGGGAUAACAUGUUAAAGGCAGCAGGUUUCUGCACUCCUUAUGAUUGUGAGAAACUUAUUUUCAAUUUGAUGUUGAAAAUGAACAUUUUUUGUGGCUCAAAUAUAAAAUUAAGUAUGAAGAAUAAGAUAUCAUUACAUUAGAACUGUUCCACUUUUUUGAAACCUUUAAGGUUAAACAAUUUAUUUUCUAUCCUUUCUUUUUGGCUAGUGGAUGUUGCUAUCUUAGCUACUUAACUGUCAGAAUAUAUUAUUCUUUAGUUCAUUCAUCAAGGGAAUCUAAUCUUUCACUGGUCAUUCACAUACUGGCAUAUGGUUCAAUCAGAAGUAGACAGUGGUUUAGCUAUCAUGAAAAUGUAAUCACAGAGCUCCUGUUUCUUAAAAUCUCUGAUUACAACAUGUAAGAGAGCGACAGGUUUCAUUUGAACCGUAGAUUGAAUUUAUGAUGUUAAAAACCCCUUCUUGGAGGCCAUUGCUGCUACAGAUAACUCAAAAUUUCAGCUUCCCUUGUACUUGUUGAUUGCUUAACUAAUUUUUGGCAAAAUUCACACACCCCCCUCUUUGCAGAGGCAGAACAAAAUGCACCAAAAUGGGAAGAUCAGCAUGUUAGAACCUUCAGUUUUUUUAUGGUACAAAUUUGUUAUAAGUUUGGGUGAUCAUAAUCACUUAAAAAAAUGGAAUUUCUUGGUGGCUUGUUUGUUUAUUUGCACAAUCUGGACUUGGAAAAAAUCUGGUUUUGGAGGCAGAGCUCAUGAUUUUGGAAGAGUAUUCAUAUAUGCAUUUAGACCGCUAUCGAUCAGCAAUCCCGAAUUAGUGGUUACAUAGGAGAGAUGAAUUUAACACCUCUUGUUUUGUAGCUUAUGAGCCUAAAUUUGUGGAUAUAAGGUGUUUACUGAACUAAUGAUCCAUGUGUCAUUUCAUCAGAAGUUUCCAGGUGAAAAAAAAAAGUCUUAGAUAUUAUUGGAGUCAUUGUAGGAGUUUUUCUUUUGCUCAUCACAUACUUUAAGAUGCCAUGAAGGGUUUUGUCAAUGGUAGUGUUGGAGCAUGCAGUUUCAAGGAAAGCGUAAUAUGAAUGUCAUUUGUCAACAUGCAACUUGAAGGAAAGGAUUACUGCUUUUGAAUAUAUCCUUCUUUAUCAAUUCCACCAUUUUCAUUAGGUAUGUAAUGAAGAGGUUGAUGGGAAGAUCCAUUAGAAUUCUGUGACACUAUUUGAUUUGAUAUCACAAUGUUACAGGGUAAAGCUAUUUAUUAUGAAUGACAGUGCUCAUAGCUUGGGGUUUGCCUUUUUUUGAACUCUAGUUAGAUACUGAAAUCAAGUUAUAAUUCAUUUC